rnacentral:misc_RNA from 1 species
ACCGUAGUGGUGGACGAUACUAUCACUCAUUUGGAUAUCCUUUCUGUAUCUGAUACUCAUCACAAAUCGACUACUGAUGCUGCGGAUCAGAAAUCGAUCACUGAUAACAGAGAGGAUGAUACUCCUGUCGCGAAUGAGGAUUUUUGUACUAACCAUGAUAAUAAUGAAGGAAGUGAGAGCAACAAGGUUAACAGAAGAGUUUCUUUACCUGCAAAGCAUGAUGUCGAUGCAAGUACACCCACAACAAGAAAGGUGCCCAGCUACAUGGCUCCAACCAAGUCUGCUAAAGCUAAGCUGAAGGAGCAAGCCUCACCAAGGUUUGGGCAAGAUGUAGCUGAGAAGAAUGCCGUAACCAGACGUCAUUCUUUACCGUCCCCUAUGAAUGGAAAGCUGAGUUCAUCACCAUCACCACG